AUGGUGAAGACCGCGGCAGCAGGGAGCAAUGGCGGUGGCGCCGUGGCGGCGAAGCAGCAGCAGCAGCAGCUUGGUGGGAAGAUGAGGACGUACAAGGGGGUGCGGAUGAGGAGCUGGGGCGCGUGGGUGUCGGAGAUCCGGGCGCCGGGGCAGAAGACGCGGAUAUGGCUCGGCUCCCACUCCACCGCCGAGGCCGCCGCGCGCGCCUACGACGCCGCGCUGCUCUGCCUCAAGGGCGCCGCCGCCGCCGCCGACCUCAACUUCCCCGUGCGCUUCCCCUUCGACCUCCCCGCCGCCGCCAUGUCGCCCAAGUCCAUCCAGCGCGUCGCCGCAGCCGCCGCCGCCGGGGCCAGCGCUAAUGCGUUCGACUUCACCGCCGGGGCCGACGACAGUCCCAGCGCUGAUGCCGUCGACUUCGCCGGUGCCGACGACUACAGCGCCGGCGCCGUCACCCCGGAGUACUGCAGCUCCUCCAGCAAUAAUGCCUCGCCGGUGAGCUCCCCGGAGACGGCUAGCAGCGGCGCCGCCGACCUCGACGGCGUAGACCUCCUGGGUUACGGUUACAGCCAGUGCUCGCUCGCGGAGAUCGAGGCCUUCUUCCAAUCGCCCAAGUGCAUGGAGUACGCCAUGAUGGACCCGUGCAGCGCGUUCUUCGCUCCGUCGCCGAUGGCCAUGGAGGACGAGUGCAGCUGGGAGGAAGGAGGCGACAUUGGGCUCUGGAGCUUCUCAAUGGACUGA
rnacentral:rRNA from 1 species